CACGUAGGGCGCAAGCGUUGUCCGGAAUUAUUGGGCGUAAAGAGCUCGUAGGCGGUCUGUUGCGUCCGCUGUGAAAACCCGGGGCUCAACCCCGGACUUGCAGUGGGUACGGGCAGACUAGAGUGUGGUAGGGGAGACUGGAAUUCCUGGUGUAGCGGUGAAAUGCGCAGAUAUCAGGAGGAACACCAAUUGCGAAGGCAGCUCGCUGGGACGUUACUGACGCUGAGACGCGAAAGCGUGGGGAGCAAACAGG
rnacentral:rRNA from 1 species